AGAGAUAAUGUGAGAAGAUUGAAAUAAGGCAUGCAAAGAGAGAUAAAGAAGUGUAAGUGUUGAAAAUGUAAAUAUGGUGGAUUUGUGAUACUAGGUGUGGUAGUUUGAUGAGAUUUUGACAACUUUUUAUCAUUGGAAAUCAAAUUCCGACGACUUCCUAGUGCAUCAACAUUGGAUUCUAGUAGAUUGAUAAAUUUUGAGCCUAGUGGUAUUGUCCUUUGCUAAUGGAAGUACUCGUUGGAGGUAGAAAUAAAGAAGGCAUGCCUUUCUAAAGCCUUUGCUAUGUUCCCUAGUCAAGGAUAUCAUCAUUGGCCCAUGGACUAGAAAAUCCUCUUCCACAGCUUUCCCUUUGUUUCUGUUCCUGCCUCUCCUUGCCGAACCUAUGGAGACCGAAACAAGAGCUCAGUUACCUCAAGACUUGUUUGAAAGAGGGAGUCUCAAACCUCUUGAAAUUUGGAAUAAUCUGCUUGUAUUUUUAUUCCAUCAACCACGUCUAUAUAUAAGAGAGUUACAAGCAACUUACUGGAAUCCUACUCACAAAAGAAGUCCUAAACCAAGAGCCGAUAGGGACUACAAUUAAACAGGAAAAAACAAGUGAUUGGAAAAGUAAAUAAAAUUCUGGAAAUAAUAAAAUUGCUGCCCGCAGAUCAGAUUGGAUUUCCAUGAGCCCCAUGUCUCUGAUGGCUCUUCCCUAUGAAUGUGUCCACAACAGACUGACUUCUGCUUCCUUCUCUUCUUUUCUUGUUCUUUCUGUUCUUCAUUUAUGUUCUUUCUCUCCUUUAUUUGCUAUGGUAGCCACGCUGAGAAUAACAACCUUCAAGGCGAUUGAACCUUUACGGCCAGUUCUCUAAAGCUAAUGAAGGAUUUUUCAGAGUCAAGAAGCACAACAGAAAUUUAAGAUUAGAAUGGAACAGAAUCAACAGAGAUGGGAAGAGGAAAUGGAUUGAUUCUUGGAAUUACUAAAAGCAUAUGCUCAAGAAAUGGGUCUUGCCGUUGACAGAGACAGUUGCGUGAAUUUUGGUUGUUCCAAACUUGAAGAAGAUCACGAUUCUGAUGGCAAUGAUGACCAAGUUCUUUCUCUCAAAUUAAAUUCUUCCUUUCAAGGGUUCGUGGAAGGUAAUGUAUGUAAGUUUGAAAAACCAAUUUUAGUUCCUCUCAAGCAUUUUGUUAUCGAGAAAUUUAAUAAAGAGGAAGACUCUAGAAUAAAUAUGAAAUCUCUUCAAUACAAGAUGGUAAUAAUAUAUAGGUUGCCCUUCAAUCUAUUGAAAUUCCAGAGAAUGAUUGUGGAGUGUUUUGUGGAGUCCAAGAAACAAAACUCAUUCUGGGAUUAAGGAUGAUGAUGAACAGAAUUUUGAAGAAAAAAAUUCAGUAUCUCUUGAGCAUUUCAAUGUUGUGAAGAAAGAUCAAAAUUCCACAAUCAAUAUAAUUUCUCAAAUUCCAUCAACGGCCAACAAUCAAGAAUUGAUGAUCAAUAGGGAUUCUCCUAGCAAAGUUAGUAAUUUCAUGUUUCUUUACACCGGACUCCCUAAAUUUCCUCUGAUUCAUCAAAAGAAUAGUUUUGUUCAGAGGGUUUCUAAGCCUGAAAUUGUCCAAGUUGUUAGUCUUCAUGAUGAAGAAGAUACAGACAGAUACAAAAACUGUGGGUCUUGUAAGAAGGUUCCAAUAUUAUGAGUGCCGUGAUCACUUAAUGAAAUCAAGAAGUGAUACUAUUAAGGAGAAUGGAUUCGAGAUGAGAAGGCAGAGAAUGAAAAGGCAUGAUGCAUAACAAAUGUUUGUGAAAAUGCCCUUGAAGAGAACUUUCUCAAUUUGAAUAUUUGCACUGCUUCUAUAAAUUCACAUUGUCCAACAACAGUGAUUUAUUUGAAGAGAAUUGCCCAAGUUCGUACGGAGUCAGCUACUUGGAAUUCCUAUGUAAUUCUUGGCCUUGGUGUUUGUUUGGCACUUGUUGGAUGAGUGAAGCAAUUGAAUAUAUGAAUCCUCAAGAAGAUGUUGGAACCUCUACUAUGUAUUGACAAAAGAUAUUGUCUUGAGGUUGCCGCCAUGUGUUAGAAUUGAUGAGAUUCCAUGUUCUAACUUACGGAGGAGUAUUAUGGAAAGUCAAUAUAUUUCAUAUUCUCAUUUAGUGUAGGAUUUAUAUUCCU
rnacentral:misc_RNA from 1 species